AUUUUUAUGAUACAUAAGGCAUGCAUUUUAAGUGUUCUAAAAUUCACAUAAAUCUCAUUUAACAUGAAUAUGCAAUCAAAUUGACGUUACGACAAGUAUAGAAUACUUAGAGGCCAUUUCACCCCGAUUUCAUGAAGUCAAACCCACCGAAGUUACCGAAACCCUUCGUAAGCUCCGACGGUGUCCACUAGUCUCCUAGCACCCUAAAGAUGUAGGAACAAGAGUCAAACAAACCUUACGAUCAACCCUAAGCUCAAUCAAUAAGCAACAUAGGCUAAGGUGGAGAAAAACUCACCUAGGUGAAGAAAUCCUCUCUCAAACUCUAAAUGGGAGUUAGAGUUCUUCAAAUCCAACCUAAAUGAAGGUCCUAAACUCAUCAAUUAGGUUUCAAAGCCCUCAAAUCAAAAAUCCCCAAAAAUAAACCCUAAAUCCCAAAAUCUAGGAUUUCAUCUAGUAAAAUCUAGAAAAACUUGUAUUAAAUGGGAAAUAUAAGCUACCAACCUCAAGAGAAGCUCCAAUCUAAGCUCUAAACCAAGUAGGGUUGGAGUUUGAUCCUCCACAAGGCUCCAACCGUAAGUUCCAAGCCACCAAAGGUGAGAAAUGAGGGGAAGAAGAUGAUGUUCCAAGGCCUCCAAGCAAGCUCCUCUCCUUCUCCUUCUUCUUCCUCUUCUUCUCCUUCUCUUUCUCUCUCUAAAGUGAGUGUGAAGGGGAGAAAUGAGAGUGAGAGGAAGAAGAGAAAGCCUCUAAAAGCCUUCUAAUGUAACAAAAUCCAGAUAAGUCCCUCAACAAUCCAAACAGCACACAGCCCGGGUCUAGGCAGUUUUCGCCCAGAGGGACCGGUCUCUCGGUUCGUCCUGCAAAACCAACGUUCGGGAACCGGUCUCUCACUGCCAGGGACCGGUUGCCUCAAGUCUGCCGCAACACUGUUGAGGGGACCGGUCUCUCCCACCAGGGACCGGUCCCCGAGAGUGAAAACUCUCAGGACUAAGCCAAAAUUUCAAAAAUCGAACUUUUAGGUCGGAAUACCAUCUAUGACCUUCCACCAAGUGUGGAAAGGUUUGGAGUCCACAUCAAACACUCCAACCUUGCAAUUUGCACAGGUCCAAUGUGUUACAUUCACCCCUCCUAAAAGGAGUUUCGUCUGCGAAACUCAAAAGCAAACACAUACCUCAAAGCUCCAUCUGGAAAAGAUGGGGAUAACGCUCCCGCAGCGCGCUCUCUAGCUCCCACGUGGCCUCCCGCUCCCCGUGGUUGCUCCAAAGAACCUUUACAUACGGAAUGUCCCGAUUCCGUAGUUUCUUCACCUCGCGAGCCAAGAUCUUCACUGGUUGCUCCUUGAAGCUCAAGUCGUCCCGCAACUCCACAGGUGUAGCAUCCAACAGAUGAGUCGGGUCAAAGACAUACUUCCGAAGGACUGAUACAUGAAAAGCGUUGUGUACACCCGAUAGGUUCGGUGGUAGAGCAAGUCGAUAUGCUACUGGACCUACACGCUCCAAAACCUCAUACAGUCUAAUAAAACGGGGGCUCAACUUACCCCGAAUUCCGAAUCUCCUGAUCCCUCUAGUCGGCGAGACCUUCAAGAAAACAUGGUCUCUAACUUGGAAUUUCAAGUCUUGCCGCCGUCGAUCGGCGUAGCUCCUCUGUCUACUCUGUGCCGUCAAAAGUCGCUCCCGAGUAAUUCGAACCUUGUCUUCAGCUUCCUGGAGCACAUCAGGGCCUAAUGCCAAUCUCUCACCGACUUCACUCCAAUGAAGCGGCGAUUUACACUUCCGUCCAUAAAGAGCUUCAAACGGCGCCAUCUUGAUGCUUGCUUGAUAACUGUUGUUAUAAGCAAACUCUGCCAUCGGUAGAUGCUGCGACCAUCCUCCCUGGAAGUCUAUCACACAUGCCCGGAGCAUAUCCUCUAAAGUCUGAAUGGUGCGCUCCGACUGCCCAUCACUCUGAGGGUGGAAAGCAGUGCUAAAGUCCAAACGAGUGCCCAGGGUGUCCUGUAGGCUCCUCUAAAAGUAAGACACAAAUCGAGUGUCUCGAUCCGAUACAAUCGAUGUAGGCACUCCAUGAAGUCGCACAAUCUCAUCAAGAUAGACUUGUGCUAGUUUCUCUCCGGUCCAAGCAGUAUGGAUAGGUACGAAGCGCGCCGACUUCUUCAACCUAUCCACGAUCACCCAUAUAACAUCAUGCCUGGCCUGAGAGCGAGGCAAUCCUGUCACGAAAUCCAUGGUGAUCUUCUCCCACUUCCACACGGGAAUAGGCAAACUUUGAAGCUUUCCCGCGGGUAAUCGGUGCUCAGCUUUCACUUGUUGGCAAGUUAGACAUCGAGCUACAAACUCACCAACGUCCUUUUUCAUCUCGGGCCACCAAUAGAGCAACUUUAAAUACUUAUACAUCUUGGUGCCACCCGGAUGUAUAGCAUACGGUGCCCGGUGUGCUUCUUGAAGAAUAUCCUCUUUAAUUCCCGAAUCCGCCGGCACACAAAUCCGUCCAUGGAAAUGCAUCAAUCCUUGGUCAUCCACAAGGAAAUCGCCGGUGCAACCAUUGACCAUUUUAUCUCAAACUUCUUGCAAUUCCAAAUCGGAAACUUGCUUUUCUUUAAUUCUAUCCAAAAGUGUAGGUUGCACCACGAAGGUCAUCAAUCUCAAAGGCGUAUCUGGAAUCACCACUUCUAACUCCAACCGCUUCAUCUGCUCAAUCAACUGCGGUUGAGUAACUGCAUCGCUAAGUUUUCCGUUGAUUUCCUACUUAGCGCAUCCGCCACCAUGUUAGCCUUAUCUGGGUGGUAUAGGAUCGUCAAAUCAUAAUCCUUGAGCAGCUCCAGCGAUCUGCGCUGUCUCAAGUUCAACUCCUUCUGAGUGAACAAGUACUUCAAGCUCUUGUGAUGUAGGAAACCCUUCGUAAGCUUCGACGAAGGUGUCCACUAGUCUCCUAGCACCCUAAAGAUGUAGGAACAAGAGUCAAACAAACCUUAUGAUCAACCCUAAGCUCAAUCAAUAAGCAACAUAGGCUAAGGUGGAGAAAAACUCACCUAGGUGAAGAAAUACUCUCUCAAGCUCCAAAUGGGAGUUAGAGUUCUUCAAAUCCAACCUAAAUGAAGGUCUUAAACCCAUCAAUUAGGUUUCAAAGUCAUCAAAUUAAAAAUCUCCAAAAAUAAACCCUAAAUCCCAAAAUCUAGGGUUUCAUCUAGUAAAAUCUAGAAAAACUUGUAUUAAAUGGAAAAUAUAAGCUACCAACCUCAAGAGAAGCUCCAAUCCAAGCUCUAAACCAAGUAGGGUUGGAGUUUGAUCCUUCACAAGGCUCCAACCGCAAGUUCCAAGCCACCAAAGUUGAGAAAUGAGGGAAAGAAGAUGAUGUUUCAAGGCCUCCAAGCAAGCUCCUCUCCUUCUUCUUCUUCCUUUUCCUCUCCUUCUCUUUCUCUCUCUAAAGUGAGUGUGAAGGGGAGAAAUGAGAGUAAGAGGAAGAAGAGAAAGGCUCUAAAAGCCUUCUAAUGUAACAAAAUCUAGAUAAGCCCCUCAACAAUCCAAACAGCACACAGCCCGGGUCUGGGCAGUUUUCGCCCAGAGGGACCGGUCUCUCCCUGCCAGAGACCGGUCUCUUGAUUCGUCCCGCAAAACCAACGUUCGGGAACCAGUCUCUCACUGCCAGGGACCGGUUGCCUCAAGUCUGCCGCAACACUGUUCUGAGGGGACCGGUCUCUCCCACCAGGGACCGGUCUCCGAGAGUGAAAACUCUCAGGACUAAGCCAAAAUUUCAUAAAUCGAACAUUUAGGUCGGAAUACCAUCUACGAUCUUCCACCAAGUGUGGAAAAGUUCGGAGUCCACAUCAAACACUCCAACCUUGCAAUUUGCACAGGUCCAGUGUGUUACAUUCACCCCUCCUAAAAGGAGUUUCGUCCGCGAAACUCAAAAGCAAACACAUACCUCAAAGCUCCAUCUGGAAAAGAUGAGGAUAACGCUCCCGCAGCGCGCUCUCUAGCUCCCACGUGGCCUCCCGCUCCCCGUGGUUGCUCCAAAGAACCUUUACAUACGGAAUGUCCCGAUUCCGUAGUUUAUUCACCUCGCGAGCCAAGAUCUUCACUGGUUGCUCCUCGAAGCUCAAGUCGUCCCGCAACUCCACAGGUGUAACAUCCAACACAUGAGUUGGGUCGAAGACAAUUUUCCGAAUGACUGAUGCAUGAAAAACGUUGUGUACGCCCGAUAGGUUCGGUGGUAGAGCAAGUCGAUACGCUACCGGACCUACACGCUCCAAAACCUUAUACAGUCCAAUGAAACGGGGGCUCAACUUACCCUGAAUUUCGAAUCUCUUGAUCCCUCUAGUCGGCGAGACCUUCAAGAAAACAUGGUCUCCAACUUAGAAUUCUAAGUCUCGCCGCCAUCGAUCGGCGUAGCUCCUCUGUCUACUCUGUGCAGUCAAAAGUCGCUCCUAGCCUAGAGUGCGUUUGGCUCGUACCCUCAGCAGCAGGCCUCUUGGCCUUACCCUUGUCCAAAGCCUCUCGCCACUGCUUGUCGUCUGCCGCGCCGCUCUCCACGAUAAGCGCGCGAUCCACCACCUCCCGGUAGGUUUGGAGGUUAGAGGAUUGCACAAACCGGAAAUCAACGGUCGCAACCCUCGCUCGAAGAUGCGGGUCUUGUCCUCAUCAUCAUGCACGACGAAAGGCACGCAGUGUAGAAGCCGAGAAAACUCCCGCUCGUACUCGGCUACUGUCCUGUUUCCCUGGCGCAAGUUGCGCAAGUCCUGCUCCAUCUUCCUUUUGACGCUGGUCGGAAAGUAGUGCGCCAACAGAAGCUCCUUGAACUUCUUCCACGAGAUAGUCGCCAAAUCAGUGCUGGGGUUGUCCUGGAGAUCCAACCACCAGCGGUAGGCUUCGCCGUCCAAAUGGUGUGUGGCCAGCCAAACUCGAUCUCUCUCCUCCACGAAGGUGUCGCGGAAGAGCUUCUCCAUAUGCAUCAACCACUUCUCCACGAUCCAGUGGUCGACCUUCUCGCCGUCGAAGAUCCGGGGACUGCACCUCCUGAACUCAUUGAAGCGCUUCAUCAAUCGGUCCCGCUCCGCUCUCUCGACCAAUACGGGGAAAACAGCUCCAAUCGAUGGAGCCUGAGCAGGUGGUGCCGCAAUAGCCUCCUCCUGAGGCGCGGCCGCGGGCGCUGCUCGCGAAGAACUGGGCGCGGGGGACGACGCUCUCGGCGCGACGUCCACAACUAGUGCUGGCGGUGUAGGGGCCUGGGUCUCCUGGAAGCUGCCGCCUGCUGCAGAAGAAGGUCCUCUAGGCGCUUCAUCCGCGCCUCCUGCCAACGCGCCGCCUCAGUCUGCUGUCGGGCCGCCUCCACCUGCUGAGUCACUAGGUCGGUGAGGGCCACAAGCUGGUUCUUCAACUCCUGGACCUCGCCAGAUCCGGAGGUAGCGGAGGUCUCGACCUCCUCAAGAUGUGCCGCAUUAUCCGCUCCGAUAGAUUAGGAGCGAGUGAUCGACAUCGCACUACAACAUCAUGAAAGCGUAGGUUAGUAACCCAUGCUAUCGUAUCCCCGCUCGAGCAGAUAAUACCCCAAAUCAUGAGAAAGUAAUGAAGUGUGCUCACUACUAACUCCAGAUGUUACGUUGUCGGCCGCCAACGUAACCCUCCGCGAAGUUAGGAGCUAUACACUUCAAUUUAACUCCACUUUCUAGAGUUAUCAAGAUACCCAAUCAAAAUACUUUCGCUUACAAGUCAAAUAGAUCUCGUCUCUAACGAGCCUAUUUCCUAUAGUCCAACCGGCCUAAGGUUUGCUAGGUCCACUAAGACUCAACCCUAGGCUCUGAUACCAAACUAAUCUGUCACGCCCCGGGACCUAGCGGAAGCCCGCGCGGCGCGUGUCCAGACCCACCAUAUGUCUAAAACAUAUAAGGUGUCUAAAACAAAACGAUAAAUAAAGCAAAUAAAGGAGAUCUAGAGAUAUCAGAACACUAUACAACAUCUAGUAUCUAAAGCAGUGUGAAGAGUAGAGAGCUAAAAUCACUAAAUAAACCAUAAAGUAAAUACAAUAGGAAUCCCAAAUACUAAAGCUAAACAAGUACAUAGGUAGUCUCUCUAUACAAGGUACUCAAAAUCACUCUCUCACUCUCUAAUACAAUAAAAGAAAGAGUAAACCAUCUCAGCUUAAUAGUAGCUCCUUUCUAUCUAGCUAGGCGACACCCUUGCCGUGAUCCCGUGCCUCCGCCGGUGCCGAAGGCUCUGAAAAGGAAACAUAAAAUAGAGGGCGUGAGAACUAUUAAAUUAUAGUUCCCAGUGGGCAAUUACUGACUUCAGUGAAAGCACCACUAGGCCCAAAAGAGCUAAACAAGUAAGUAACAGUAAAAGCAAUAGAAUCGAUGUGUAAGUAAACAUGUAAACUCACUACAACAUGAUAUCUCUACUUAGCAUGAAUUUGCAUAAGUAAAUAAAGGCUAUUCUAACAUGAAUGUACAAAAGUGUCACUAGCAUGAUGUCCACAAGCUAAAUAGUAAAAAUGUCUUGUUUACUAUUCUAGUCAAUGUCCAGCCGGUAUGCUAGGUCAUCAAUGAUCCAAUCCUGUAGGACCUACACGUGGGUAGUCCGGCCUACGCCGUGCCUAAUUGCCCCGUGGUAGUCAACAUCCCCACUCUAGGAAUAAGCAUCCCCUACGGCAUCUCAUUUCGGCGGCCAAUCCCGCACAAGCGAGCAUAUGUCGCGAUGGCUAUCUCUGGAGUGACGGCUUGUAGGGAGCGACCCUCACAAGCAUGUGCGAAUGAGCACAAUGGCAAGCAAGCGAAAGAUCUGUCUCAAGUACCAAGUCCUCAUGUCUAAAAAUAUGGAAUAUACGUCGAAUGUCUCAAAGACCUAUCUCUAUGUCAUCAUGUCUCUAACAUGGUAUAUAGCAGAUGUUCAAUGGCCUAUUACUAUGUCUUUAUAUUGCAGUUUUAUAGUUUACUAUGUCAAGUGCCUCUCUAUGGCAUUUUGUCAACUAAGUCCAAACAUGAGUUGAUUGUUUACAAAUGCAUAAUUUGAGCAAUUUCUAACAUAAAGGACAUGUUUCCAAGUCGCUAACACGAACACUCCUCAUAUACAUGCAAAAUGCUCCGAAUGCCCUACUAUAUAGAGUGAAAUUUUCAUGAUAUAUAAGGCAUGCAUUUUAAGUGUUCUAAAAUUCACAAAAAUCUCAUUUAACAUGAAUAUGCAAUCAAAUUGACGUUACGACAAGUAUAGAAUACUUAGGAGCCAUUUCGCCCCGAUUUCAUGAAGUCAAACCCACCGAAGUUACCGAAACCCUUCGUAAGCUCCGACGAAGGUGUCCACUAGUCUCCUACCACCCUAAAGAUGCAGGAACAAGAGUCAAAUAAACCUUACGAUCAACCCUAAGCUCAAUCAAUAAGCAACAUAGGCUAAGGUGAAGAAAAACUCACCUAGGUGAAGAAAUCCUCUCUCAAGCUCCAAAUAGGAGUUAGAGUUCUUCAAAUCCAA
rnacentral:lncRNA from 1 species